rnacentral:misc_RNA from 1 species
AAGUCGUAACAAGGUUUCCGUAGGUGAACCUGCGGAAGGAUCAUUAACAGAGUUUUAGGGUGAGAGCGUAAAAAACUCUCGCUCGAACUCCCACACCCUGAUGUUAUGCGGUUACCUCUGUUGCCUCGGCGGGCCAGUCCGAAUCCCCUAACCGGGGAGGAAGGGCUACCGGCUCCGACUGCGAUCUUUCAGCGGUCGGGGAGUGGUCGUGCCCGCCAGAGGGUGAAUUUCCAAGACUCUUUUUGAUGACCUGUCGACUCUGAGUUAAACCAUAAAAUCAUCAAAACUUUCAACAACGGAUCUCUUGGUUCUG